UUUGCCUUUGUGCUUUUUAAUGAAGUGUUUUUCUCUUUAUUAUUUUCUUUAUUUUUUUAUGCCUUUUUGAUUAUGCCAAAAAGGGGGAGAAAUUAUUAAAUAGCUCUGAUGAAAAUUAUGUCUAAAACCUUAAGCAUUCUGCAACAAUUAUAGAAAUAGUUCUGAUAUAAAUAGCUCUGAUUAAAUAAUAGCUCUGAUUAAAUAACUCUAACUUUAAAGUUAAGCAUUUGCAGAAAGUUUUCAGAAACCUAAUUACUUGGAAAGCUCUGGUAAGAACUUCUGAACUCCCUAGCGCUAACUCAGGGGGAGCUUUUGUCUAUCUGAUCUAAUAUUUUUCAUGUUUCAUCUGAUAAUUUUAUUUGUU
rnacentral:lncRNA from 1 species